UACAGAGGGGGCAAGCGUUGUUCGGAAUUACUGGGCGUAAAGGGCGCGUAGGCGGCCUUCUAAGUCGAACGUGAAAUCCCCGGGCUCAACCCGGGAACUGCGUCCGAUACUGGGAGGCUUGAAUCCGAGAGAGGGAUGCGGAAUUCCAGGUGUAGCGGUGAAAUGCGUAGAUAUCUGGAGGAACACCGGUGGCGAAGGCGGCGGCCUGGACCGGCAUUGACGCUGAGGCGCGAAAGCCAGGGGAGCAAACGGG
rnacentral:rRNA from 1 species